GAUGAACGCUAGCUACAGGCUUAACACAUGCAAGUCGAGCGACCGGCGCACGGGAGAGUAACACGUAUCCAACCUGCCCUUUACUCGGGGAUAGCCGUUCGAAAGAAAGAUUAAUACCCGAUAUAAAGGAUGGGGAUGCGUUCCAUUAGGUUGUUGGUGAGGUAACGGCUCACCAAGCCUUCGAUGGAUAGGGGUUCUGAGAGGAAGGUCCCCGAGAUUGGACCUAAGGCACGGUCCAAACUCCGACGGGGGGCAGCAGUAAGGAAUAUUAGUCAAGGGGCGCUAGCCUGAACCAGCCAAGUAGCGGGAAGGAUGAAGGCUUAUGGGUCGUAAACUUCUUAUAUAGAAGAAGAUGUAUUAUAUGAAUAAGGAUCGGCUAACUCCGUGCCAGCAGCCGCGGUAAUAC
rnacentral:rRNA from 1 species